rnacentral:rRNA from 1 species
CUACGGGGGGCUCCAGUGGGGGAUAUUGCACAAUGGGCGAAAGCCUGAUGCAGCAACGCCGCGUGAAGGAUGACGGAUUUCGGUCUGUAAACUUCUAUCAGCAGGGAAGAAAAUGACGGUACCUGACUAAGAAGCCCCGGCUAACUACGUGCCAGCAGCCGCGGUAAUACGUAGGGGGCAAGCGUUAUCCGGAAUUACUGGGUGUAAAGGGUACGUAGGCGGCUGAUCAAGUCAGAUGUGAAAGCCCGGAGCUCAACUCCGGGAUUGCAUUUGAAACUGGUCGGCUAGAGUGCAGGAGAGGAAAGUGGAAUUCCUAGUGUAGCGGUGAAAUGCGUAGAUAUUAGGAAGAACACCAGUGGCGAAGGCGGCUUUCUGGACUGUAACUGACGCUGAGGUACGAAGGCGUGGGGAGCGAACAGGAUUAGAUACCCCUGUAGUC